rfam:Gammaproteobacteria bacterium SG8_11 WOR_8-12_40877, whole genome shotgun sequence.
AGGCGCGUAGCUCAGUUGGUUAGAGCAUCACCUUGACAUGGUGGGGGUCGUUGGUUCGAGUCCAAUCGCGCCUA